CUGGCAACAGUAAAGACCAUAACAGGAUCUGUUAGGCCCCCACCUCGCUCUCUUACUCUCUUACUGCUUACUCUCUUACCUCUUAACCCCUCACUCUCACCCCCUCUCUCCCCUCUCUGUCUUCUCUCCUCUCUCCUCUCUGUCUUCUCCUGUCCUCUCUCCCUUUUACUUUCUUUCUCUCUAGCCUUUCCCCCCUCUCUUUUUCUAUCUUCUCUCUUUCUAACUGCAUUUCUAUAAUAGAGUUCUUAAACCAUGGAGAGUCUCUGCUCCAUCAAGAUCCACUGCGCACUCUCACAGAUUCUUUGCAGUUAAAUGAUGCAUAUGAUUCUUGUCUACCUUUGAAGCCAAAAUAAAAAGAAAGACUCCAGCCCAUUUGGAGGGUUUUACUGCCCGACUCCAGUUGUGAGCUAAAUAGAUACACUGAAAAUGGGAAGGUCAAAGAGGUUUCAUUCACAACUAUGUACUGUCAUUCACCUGAAGACAUGCAAUGCAGUCAUCCUAUCUAUGAAUUCAGAAAUCCUGUUUCCUGCCCAGAUCCAAGAAACUACCCAAACCAUUCCUUGAUUGUUUGCAAGAAAACGAGCAGUUUCUAGAUUACCGAAGAGGAGCCCCUACAAAGCUGAAGCAAUUGUCAAUGAAGGCAAAUAUUUUCCCGCAUUUGUUCAUCCUCAGUUCUCAUUCAGGGAAGGAAAUCGUUGUGUUCUCUUCCUUUUGCCAUGGCCUCUGGCUUUGAAAGCAGAUUCUGUUUUCCUGAAGCAGGAGGAGGCUGGCUGCUGAGAGGCAUUAUGUCAUCGGAGUCCCUCAAUGUUUCUCCUCGUCUAAAAUGCUCAUAUUCCAUUCACCUAGAAUGAAGAAAAUAUUUCACAGUGUUCAUGAGUUUGUAGUAAAAGCAUCCAUAGAGAUGUCGCUAUAAAUCUCCAUGUGAGG
rnacentral:lncRNA from 1 species